rnacentral:rRNA from 1 species
UACGUAGGGUGCAAGCGUUAAUCGGAAUUACUGGGCGUAAAGCGUGCGCAGGCGGUUUUGUAAGUCUGACGUGAAAUCCCCGGGCUUAACCUGGGAAUUGCGUUGGAGACUGCAAGGCUUGAGUCCGGGAGAGGUGAGUGGAAUUCCCAGUGUAGCGGUGAAAUGCGUAGAUAUUGGGAGGAACACCAGUGGCGAAGGCGGCUCACUGGACCGGAACUGACGCUGAGGCGCGAAAGCGUGGGGAGCAAACGGG